GGCGCCGUGCCCAAGUGGUUAAGGGAACGGUCUGCAAAACCGUCAUUCAGCGGUUCGAAUCCGCUCGGCGCCUCCA
rnacentral:tRNA from 1 species